UAUACAAAAUCAUUACUUCUCUACUUAUAUAAUCUGAUUUUAGUGUAUUGCCAGAAUAGCUUUGCAUAUAUUAUAUAAAGUAUUUUGCUUUUGAUAGCAACUGCUAUUUAACUUGUCUGUCUCAAAUACUAACAAAUUUAUAAGAGAAUAUCUGUUAUUUAUUAAUUGUUAUGAAUGUUUUAGAAUUGUUUUUGUAUAUGUUCAGAAUUUGUGAUUGACCAUGGCCUCAAUUAUAAUAUUUGUUAGGCAAACAAGAAAAAUUCAUUAUUAACAAUAUUUUAGAAACAGUCACUGAAAAAAA
rnacentral:lncRNA from 1 species